rnacentral:rRNA from 1 species
AAAUUGAAGAGUUUGAUCAUGGCUCAGAUUGAACGCUGGCGGCAGGCCUAACACAUGCAAGUCGAGCGGAAACGAGUUGUCUGAACCUUCGGGGAACGAUAACGGCGUCGAGCGGCGGACGGGUGAGUAA